CGGACCAAACGGGGCUUCGGCUCCGGCGCAAAGAGAGGCCCAAGUGAGAUUAGCUAGUUGGUAAGGUAAAGGCUUACCAAGGCGACGAUCUCUAGCUGUUCUGAGAGGAAGAUCAGCCACACUGGGACUGAGACACGGCCCAGACUCCUACGGGAGGCAGCAGUGGGGAAUAUUGCACAAUGGGGGAAACCCUGAUGCAGCCAUGCCGCGUGUGUGAAGAAGGCCUUCGGGUUGUAAAGCACUUUCAGUUGUGAGGAAAAGUUAGUAGUUAAUACCUGCUAGCCGUGACGUUAACAACAGAAGAAGCACCGGCUAACUCCGUGCCAGCAGCCGCGGUAAUACGGAGGGUGCGAGCGUUAAUCGGAAUUACUGGGCGUAAAGCGCACGCAGGCGGUUUGUUAAGCUAGAUGUGAAAGCCCCGGGCUCAACCUGGGAUGGUCAUUUAGAACUGGCAGACUAGAGUCUUGGAGAGGGGAGUGGAAUUCCAGGUGUAGCGGUGAAAUGCGUAGAUAUCUGGAGGAACAUCAGUGGCGAAGGCGACUCCCUGGCCAAAGACUGACGCUCAUGUGCGAAAGUGUGGGUAGCGAACAGGAUUAGAUACCCUGGUAGUCCACACCGUAAACGCUGUCUACUAGCUGUUUGUGACUUUAAGUCGUGAGUAGCGAAGCUAACGCGCUAAGUAGACCGC
rnacentral:rRNA from 1 species